rnacentral:rRNA from 1 species
UACGUAGGGGGCCAGCGUUGUCCGGAUUUAUUGGGCGUAAAGAGCGUGUAGGCGGCCAGGUAGGUCUGGUGUGAAAACUCGAGGCUCAACCUCGAGAUGUCAUCGGAAACCAUCUGGCUAGAGUCCGGAAGAGGAGAGUGGAAUUCCUGGUGUAGCGGUGAAAUGCGCAGAUAUCAGGAGGAACACCGAUGGCGAAGGCAGCUCGCUGGGACGGUACUGACGCUGAGGCGCGAAAGCGUGGGGAGCGAACAGG